GACGAACGCUGGCGGCAUGCUUAACACAUGCAAGUCGAACGGAAAGGCCCUGCUUUUGUGGGGUGCUCGAGUGGCGAACGGGUGAGUAACACGUGAGUAACCUGCCCUUGACUUUGGGAUAACUUCAGGAAACUGGGGCUAAUACCGGAUAGGAGCUCCUGCUGCAUGGUGGGGGUUGGAAAGUUUCGGCGGUUGGGGAUGGACUCGCGGCUUAUCAGCUUGUGGGUGGGGUAGUGGCUUACCAAGGCUUUGACGGGUAGCCGGCCUGAGAGGGUGACCGGCCACAUUGGGCCUGGGAUCCGGCCCAGACUCCUACGGGAGGCAGCAGUGGGGAAUAUUGCACAAUGGGCGGAAGCCUGAUGCAGCAACGCCGCGUGCGGGAUGACGGCCUUCGGGUUGUAACCCGCUUUCGCCUGUGACGAAGCGUGAGUGACGGUAAUGGGUAAAGAAGCACCGGCUAACUACGUG
rnacentral:rRNA from 1 species